rnacentral:rRNA from 1 species
AUUGAACGCUGGCGGCAGGCCUAACACAUGCAAGUCGAACGAGUGGCGGACGGGUGAGUAAUGUCUGGGAAACUGCCCGAUGGAGGGGGAAAACUACUGGAACCGGUAGCUAAUACCGCCUACCAUCGGAUGUGCCCCGAUGGGAUUAGCUAGUAGGUGGGGUAAAGGCUCACCUAGGCGACGCUCCCUAGCUGGUCUGAGAGGAUGACCAGCCAAACGUGAACUGAGACACGGUCCAGACUCCUACGGGAGGCAGCAGUGGGGAAUAUGGCACAAUGGGCGCAAGCCUGAUGCAGCCAUGCCGCGUGUAUGAAGAAGGCCUUCGGGUUGUAAAGUACGUUCAGCGGGGAGGCGUUACCCGCAGAAGAAGCACCGGCUAACUCCGUGCCAGCCGCCGCGGUAAGAC